AUACAGAAUCAACAAUAACAAUAUAUUCAGAUUCAAAAAUCCAUCAACAACAACACCACCACAUUCAAAUUCAAAAAUCCAUCAACAACAACACCAUCACAUUCAAAUUCAAGACAAAAAAUUUCAAAAAUCCAAUCUUUCAAACUCAAAGAGAGAGAACACAGAUUUCAGGAACAAAUCGAGGGCUCUCUGCUUCUCCCCUCUCUCCCAAUACAUGAGCCCAGCGUCCACCAUGGCGAGUGUAGAUCCAUGCGCCGCCGCUUUCUCGAAAGACUCUGUGCCUUUUCUAUAUUCUGCUUCACCCGUGGGUUUCCGUGCUUGAAUUUCUUCCCCCAUCGGAGCAGCAUCAUUGCCUCCCUCAGCAGCCGCAACACCUCCCACCAAGAUUGGCACACCACCGACGCCACCUAGCUACAUGAACAGAUCUGGAAAGAGAUGAGCUUCAGGUAGCAAAACAGAGAAACAG